GUGAGCUUGUUGUCAUUUAUACCCCUCUGAGAUCAGUUAUGAUAUUACACGCAUCAAACGCAUGCGCAGACGUGUGUUGAAACUAAACCCGCGCAUUAAGAGGCAGCAGUAGCACGUUAACGAGUAAAUAACACUGAUUAAUCCCCUCCGUGCAAGAUCCGUAGUAAGCUUGAGAGCGGGACAGCGGUGUUUCUGGCGACUGGAGCAGAGAGUUAGCUAGUUAGUUACCAGUAUAGUAUAACUCUAAACGUAGCAGUGAAAUGUAUCUGCACUUUAGGCUGUUUGUGCUACAACUUCGACGACGACUACGACUGCUAGAGACCGAAACUGCAGUCUAGACUCUUAGCCAGGAAAGGUUAAUGACACUGAGGCUGGAAAAUACAGGAUUCUGCAUUGUCUCUGGAGUGUGUCACUGUCAGCUAGGAAGGUGAAAGGUGAAGGUGUCCAGGCAGAGAGCAGAAGGUGCUGGAGAGAGAAUUUCAGCACAGGAAAGACAGGCCACACAAAAUCAUGAGACAGGACAGGCCCUGAAUUUAAGAGUUGAUCUGCUACUGCUGCUGUCAUGAAAAGAAGCAGCGGACAACUGUUCUCAGUAAAAAUCCCUGACCCACCUACCUGCACAACAUCAAACAGCAAACAGACACAGUUAGUGAUGAGCUGGGGGACAUAUUGGAUCACUAAGAAGCAAGAGUUCGUGGAGACCAAACCAGAGCUGAAGGGGCCCCUUCGGAACGAUGGACUGUAUGGGAAAAUCCCCCCUAACUGGAGGAGGAAGCCACGGACACAAACAGCAGAGAGCUGGGGACUACCUGCUGUUUAAACAGAUAGCAGGGCCUGUGUGGCCGCGGCUGCAAAGGCCCCUGAACUUCGCUCAGCUUCAGAUGUUUAAGAGUCCCAGCGAGGGCAUUGGAGUUCUCCAGAGAAAUAAGUAACUGCUUGGCCAGAACAGCCUUUGGAUCCCAGGGUGGAUCCCAGGGUGGACCGCCAGCGGCGAUGCAGAACCCUUUUACUGAUUGGUUAGCGGACAUGCACAACGUUCUCCAGGGAGCUGAUGCUUGGGUGGUUCAGGAGAUUGCCAAGCAGCCGCAACAAUUAACCCAAAUAAGCUUGUGGAGAAUUACUUAAUGUGUGUCAGGCCCUUCGCUGAGUAUACAAAUGAAAACAGUCUAUGCUCUACUUUCUAUACAACAGGAACCAAACAGAAAUCAUUCAGCUUCAGUCCCCUCCAUACCACUGUGUUUUUAUUACAUUUCACAUUAGAGAUGACAUGUAAAUGAUAGCAAUAAGGGCAAUAAACAGCAUGCGCACCAAUGCCCAUAGUGAUAGUAUAGUGAAAACAGUUUUACUUCUGGAGGAAAACACCUUUAGCCCUGCGAGGACGUGCUCUGAACUUUGUACGCUGUGUGGGGGCUGAGGGCAUGACUCCCUCCACACAGAGCUGAUGACUGGCCAGGGACCCAGAAGAGCAGUUGUAAAAAUAGAUGCAAAAACAAUACCUGCCCAGUCAUGGAAGACGCCUCCCAUGUAGAGAAAGCUGCAGGUGAUGAGUUGAUAUGACUGCAGAGGAACUUGUUUUCAGUUUGAGUGGAUAAAUGAGGAAUUUCAAAUCUCUGAAAACUUUCAUUUACAUACAGACUUUUCAAGAGAGGAGAAAGGUCUGGAAGACAAGCCUUUCUUUAUAAAACUCUCAUUGUUGAGUCGGACAUAAUAACACCAUAUUGAUAUGCGGUGAACACCUAAGCCGGUUUUAUUGCACCCAUUUCUGGUUCACAGGAAAUCUGCAUUUAUUUAGAGACACAUGAAAGUGUCAAUAAGCAAAAGCAUUAAUUGGUAGCCACCCAACCUCACCUCAACAGUAACUGGCUGUUAUUCCAGGAGCUGUACCCCUGCAUUUCCUCUAACCAACUGUGGUACUGAGCUAAUCAUAAUAUAUUAACUGACCAUACAGGAAGCCGUGUCCCACCGUGCCGUUUUAGUUACCAUGUAUGCCUUUCAGUUUUUAAAGGCCAUUUAAGGUAAAGGCGGUUAAGACAAGCAUUUUUUAACUAGUCCUUUUGUUUGUUGAUGCCAAAAACCUGCGGCCACUGUUGAACACAGCCGCUUUCACCCUCAAACUCCACCUUUAAAAGAAACAAUUUUAUAGAGACUCGGUGACAUCAUUUACACGAAUAUGUUGUUUAAAAUCCAAGAACGUCCCAUUGUAUAUUUGAUUUGGCCUCUGGCACCUCAGCUGACCAAUACAUCACAUGUCCCGGGCUACGACUAUUUAAUGUAGAAUCUCCAAAACUCACAAAUGCAGUAUGACCAAAUGUUCCAGUGAUGUACCAGUAUACUAAACAGGCCAUAUAUCUCGCUCUCCUCUCCUAACAGAAAUAGAUUUCGCUGAAUUGUUUGAUAAAUUCGGUCUAGGUUUUCCAGCCAUCCUUAUUGGAGCUCCUACUGUUUUUCUGGCUGUUGGUGGCCUAAGCCCUAAUCACCCUCCGUUCCCUCAGAGGCCAUAAAUUACUCCGAUGAGAUGGCGCUUUGUGUUCUUACUGCUGGGGAGCGGGGCGAAUUCACAGCGCCAUAUUUUGACAACCCGUACUUUAAAUCAUUGUUUUAUGACAGAUGGGAAAACUUCUGCACUUUCACCGGCCUGAUUUAUGUUCAUUUGGGUCUGGAGGACACUAUAAUUUGCAAGUAAUGUGAAAACAGAUGGAUAGAGAGAUACCAAAGGGUAAGACUGACCUAUACAUUCUCAGUGCAGCUUACAAAUGGCAUCCAUAUGCUGCAAGAACUCUUCCAGUUACAUCUCCAUUACUGUAUGUAUGUGUGUGUGUGCGUGCAUACAUGUGUGUGUAUGUCUUUGUUUGUAUGUCUGACUUGUUUGU